UACGUAGGGGGCAAGCGUUGUCCGGAAUCAUUGGGCGUAAAGAGCGUGUAGGCGGCCUGAUAAGUCGGUUGUGAAAGUCAAGGGCUCAACCCUUGAAUGCCGGCCGAUACUGUCAGGCUAGAGUCCGGAAGAGGCGAGUGGAAUUCCUGGUGUAGCGGUGAAAUGCGCAGAUAUCAGGAGGAACACCGAUGGCGAAGGCAGCUCGCUGGGACGGUACUGACGCUGAGGCGCGAAAGCGUGGGGAGCAAACGGG
rnacentral:rRNA from 1 species